UGGGAAAGGAGAGAGGCAAAGCCC
rnacentral:piRNA from 1 species